AAGCUUCCUUAACCUCUGGAUUGCUCGAAAUCGAUCAGCAAAGCGCAGCCAGCCUGGCAAUUAGGAGCUCAUUACCAUAUAUGCAAAUAUGGCAAGCUCUCUCUCCGCAGCCGCGGAGGCGCGGGGAGAGAGAACCGCAGCAGCGUUUAGGGGUGGGAACUGGGCACGGCCCGGCCUGAGCGCAGGGGAUCCUCCUCCCGCCGAGGACCCUUCCCAAAAACGGCGCCGUGCCCCGGCAAUAACCCGGUAAUUCGGGGACACGCGGAGGGCCGGCCAGCCCCGGCCCGAGGGAGUGUUCUAAAGGCGCUGCCACGGAGCAUGGAAAGGGGCGUUAGUGCCGCAAAA
rnacentral:lncRNA from 1 species